rnacentral:rRNA from 1 species
UACGAGUGCCUCGAGCGUUAUCCGGAAUCAUUGGGCGUAAAGGGUGCGUAGGCGGCUCAUACAGUCAGGCGUGAAAUUCCUGGGCUCAACCUGGGGACUGCGCUUGAGACGUGUGGGCUUGAGUGGGGAAGAGGGUCGUGGAAUUCCCAGUGUAGAGGUGAAAUUCGUAGAUAUUGGGAAGAACACCGGUGGCGAAGGCGGCGACCUGGUCCUUGACUGACGCUGAGGCGCGAAAGCGUGGGGAGCAAACAGG